UACAGAGGGGGCAAGCGUUAUUCGGAAUUAUUGGGCGUAAAGGGCGCGUAGGCGGCUUGGCAAGUGGAAGGUGAAAUCCCCGGGCUCAACCCGGGAACUGCGUCCGAUACUGGAAGGCUUGAAUCCGGGAGAGGGAUGCGGAAUUCCAGGUGUAGCGGUGAAAUGCGUAGAUAUCUGGAGGAACACCGGUGGCGAAGGCGGCAUCCUGGACCGGCAUUGACGCUGAGGCGCGAAAGCCAGGGGAGCAAACGGG
rnacentral:rRNA from 1 species